UCACGGCCCGCGACUCCGCUCCGGUAAAUACGAAGCCCGGCUGAGGGGGAGGAGCGGCGGACCCGCAACUUCCCUCCCCGCCGCGCGCACCGCCGGGCCUAGACCUCCCUGACCGCCGGACCGGGCGAGCCCGCUACGUGCUCCCGCUGGGCCGCCGCCGCCUCCUGCGCCGCCGCUUCCGCCGGUGAAUGGUCAGCGCUGGAGUUUGAACAGGGCCCUGAACCAUCUCAACGCCAUUUGCGCUCCCGGCCCCCACCUCCUUCCUCCAACAGCCGCUCGCUCCGUCACUCCGCUUCCCACAGGCCCCGCGCGGCGUCCGACCCCGCAGCCAAUCGCGGGGCCGCUUACUCAAACCGCCGCGCAGGCGCCGCGCCCCGCACGCGCCGCCGCCCGCCAUUGGCCAGGCAGUGGGGAAUGACGGGAGUUGUAGUCGCGGUGCGCGAGAUCGCGGGACCGCGAGUCCCGCGCGUGACGGAGCGAGGGGGUUGUGGAGCUGCCGAGGCUUCGAGCCUCGCCUGCUCUGGGUCCGGAGCCGGUUCCCGCACCCCGGCACCACCGGGAGACGCAGGUGCCGCUGGGGUCCCCGGGGGCGCAGUGCACGCAGCUGUGUCAAUCGUUUCCCCUCCAGGGAUUCGGCGGCGUCUGGGGAUGGUGGCUGGUGCAGCUGCUCAGGGCCUCAGGGGCCGCCGCCGGGAGCGGGAGCCUGCAGACCGAAGCCGCGCGGACUCGGCCGGCUCAGGGACCCGCGGCCGGGAGCCCUGCGCCCGCCCCGCCUGGGAACUGCGACCCCCAGCAUCCCGCACGCAGCAGCCGCGUCGGGGCCGCUAACGGCGAUGCGAAGUUUUUUUAUUAAAGCGUGCGCAGCUCUUCAGGGGCCUCAUUGGUGUCCCGGCCUCCUGUCCCCUCUCACAUUGGAAGGAAAGGGAAAGGCUGACACUUGCUCAAGGCCUUCGACGGAGGGAAUCCAACUUUUUCUUGACUAUCAGCUGCCCAUCAGUGCGCAUGGCUAUUCUUCCAUCUGGCAGAAAGAGGUAGGUACAUCAUUUGAGAACUAAAAAUCCCUUUCGUUGUUUGCUUUUGAUUUCUCUGAGACAGGGUCUCACUGUGUAGUCCAGGCAGGCCUUGAACACAUUACUACAUGGCCCAGGCUGGCCUGGAACUCACAUCGAUCCUCCUACUUCGGCCCCCACAGGCCAAAGCAGCCCGCGUGUGUGUGUGUGUGUGUGUGUGUGUGUGUGUGUGUGUGUGUGUGUUUAGUCUGGAAGUGCAGUGUGGAAAGGCUCAGAAGGGCUGUGCUAGGUCUUUGCCUUCCCUGGAAAGAGAUUCAGACUCCAGUGUCCCUGCAGGCCAUACACCUUAACCCUUCCCUGUCCUGUCCACUGAGACAAAGGCAGGCAGACACCCUAGGGGUCCACACCCUGGUACAACUCCAGAAUGCACCAACUGGGCUGCAGCCAACUGGGCAGCAGCACGGGACAUACGGCCAGCAGCUUUGUAUCAUAUUUUGUUUUCUUGGUUCCCUCUGCUAGGGCUCCAUUUCCUGCCAGCUGUCUUCCCCAGUAAAUGUCAUAACCAGUGAGCCUAAUUCAUAACCUUGGAUGCACCAGGUUGCCCUCCUUGUACUGCCUGGAGGAGGGCAGAGCUGAAUACCAGCUUUCCCUGAGGAGGAAAUCCUACUGGACCUGAUAGUGCACGCCUGAGGCAGGAGGAUCUCGUUGAACUACAAUGGCAGAGCCUGUCUCAGAAAAGAAACCUCCACAGACACCAUGCUGCUGUGCCCACGUUCUACGCGUGUCAGAACUGGAGAUGCUAACGCAGCCCUCUGAGUCUUCUCAUACCUCACACGGAACGGCAUGCAGGAAUUACCAUGUUAGAGCAAGCCAUCUCCCCUGUGCCUAGGGCCUAGGACGAGGAAGAAAAUAGUUAAACUGUCCAUCUAUCUGCACAGUGUGGUUCUGUUCCAACACCUGAAGGCAGCCCUUCCUGUCGGGUGCCCCUGUCUGUUUUUGUUGGUUUUUUGGUUUUUGUUUUUUUUUUUUUUUUGUCUUUUUGAGACAUGGUCUUGCUAUGCAGUUCAGGCUGGCCUUGAGCUCACUUUGUAGCCCAGGCUGAUCUCGAACUCACAAUGAUCCUCCUACCUCAGCCUCCCGAGUGCUGGGAUUACAGGCGUGCGCCACCACUCCCCACUGCUGGCCCUGUCUGUGUCCUGGCUCCUUUCUGUCCCCCAGGAAGUCCUCUGCCACGUCCUCCACUGACUUCUCCGACUGUCAUUUCUUUUAGGUUUUCGCUGAGCACUCCGCCUACUUUAAAUCUCGCAGCCAAGCUCACUGUCCCAAGUGCUGCUUCUCCUCGGUGCACACCACCCCAUCCCGCAUGUCAGUUCUCGGGCUUGUGCUACAUGUUCACCUGCCCUGUGACAACGGGCUCUGCCUCUGGUUUUCUGGUGUAGCCUUAGCAUCUAGAAGAAUGCCUGGCACAUAGUUGGUGUUCAAUAAAUAUUUGUUGAAGUUGAGCAUGGAGGUGCACACCUGUAGUCCUAGGGCUUAGGAGACUGAGGCAGGAGGAUCGCCUGACCUACAGAGCUGGAGGCCAGCAUGAACUAGGAAAAAAUUGUAUCUUGCAAAGAAAAUGACUUGAUGUUAACAACAGCUGGGAACCACCUGCAGGCUCCCGCCAAUUGUUAAGAGUUUCCCAGUGGGGAGGGGGUGCUUCAGGAGGUACCUUUUGUUCCUAUAAAGCCGGAAGAUGAAUGGCAAUUACCUUGUUUUCCAGGAUAAUUGGAAUCUGUCCUCUGGAGAGGGUGCAUCCUCCCUGGGGAAUGAAUUAUAGCCUCAAAGCCUCUACCAGCUCACACUUCCCAACCUUUGUCCUGAAAACAGCCCUCUCCUCCCCAGGGUCCUCACCCCUGUGGCCCUCACCUCCCCAGUGGCCCAUGCCUGUAAGACUGAGGCAGGAGGAUUUCUGAGGCUAACCUGGGCCACAUAGUUUAAGGCUAACCUGAACUAUAGUGCAAGAUCCUGUCUAAAAAAUAAAUAAAUAAAUAAAACAAGCCAGGCAGGGUAGUGCAUGCCUGUAAUCCCAGCACUCGGAAGGCUGAGGCAGGAGGAUUGUUGUGAGUUUGAGACCAGCCUGAACUGCAUAGCAAGACCCUGUCUCAAAAAAAAAAAAAAAAAAGACAAACCUGCCUAAAGCUACCCCAUCCUCGAGCCAUACCUUUGCAAGUUGACUUUAGAUGCCUCCCAGGAUAUUUGUUGACCCUGUGAGUUGCUCCAGCCAAGGGAAGGUGGCAGAUGUGACAUCAGUUCUGAGUUUGGCCUUGAAAAACCUUACAGAUCUAUAUCACCUUCUGGAUCCCUGCCUCCGCCUAGGACAGCAGGCCCAAACUGGCCUGCAGGAGAAGUCACACAGCAUAAAGCGUCCAUAGCACCCAGCUGGCUGAAGCAGGCUCCAAACCCCAUAGCACCCAGCUGGCUGAAGCAGGCUCCAAACCUCAUCUGCAAAGCCACGCCCUGCCCUGCAGCCACUAAACACUCCUGGCUGGCACCCCUGAAACGGAGGUGCUGCGGGGCUCAGCUACAGUUGAUGAGCAAGAGCAGCCAGGUGUUCUGUCACCUCUGAAUCGGCGUUUGUCAUUCAGCACUAUCGUGGUGGUAGAGGGUUGUACAGCAGUGGUUUCUGUGGUUAUGGAAAGCAGCUCUGUGGUCAGUGUCCUGUUUUUUGGGAGGGGUGUACAAGGUCUCACUAGGUAGUCCCGACUGGCCUCAAAUGCAAGAUCCUCCUGCUUUGGCCUUUCCAGUGCUGGAUUAUAGGCAUGUGUCCCUAGCCCAGACUCACAGUAUAUUAAUAACUCUCAGCAUGUUUGCUUAUUUUUUAUUAUCUCUCACCACACUAGAAUGUCACCUAUGGGAAGACAAUGAUCUUGUGUGUUGUGACCCCUGUUGUAACCUAAGCUCCAUAGUCCAGGGUCAUAGCCACAACUGUGUGCCUCUGGGCCCUUGAAAUGUGAAAUGUGCCUGGCAUGGUGGCACACACCUGUAAUUCCAGCACCUGGGAGACUGAGGCAGGAGGAUUUCUGCAAGUUUAAGACCAUCCUGAACCACAUAAUAAGACCCUGUCCAAAAAAAACAAAGACUAAAAUGUGUUACUUUUUUUUCAUAAAAUUUUUUAAAAACUUAAAAAUGUAAAAUGCACAGAGGGGAGGAGGGGUUGAAAGGAGGAUAGGAGAAUGGGGAAAAGAAAAAAUGUAAAAUGCACAUUGGCUUUUAGAGGCUUAGCUCAAAAAAAAUAUAAAGUCUGUUGAUAAUUUUCACAUUGAUUAUAUGGGGUUUUUUUCGGUUUUUGUUUUUUUUUUUUGUCUUUUUGAGUCAGGGUUUCGCUAUACAGUUCAGGCUAAACUUGAACUCACUUUGUAGCCCAGGCGGGUCUCAAACUCAUAACAAUUCGC
rnacentral:lncRNA from 1 species